CUCACAGUGAGUGAGAAGUCUUCUUCUGAAAGUUCAAUCUGAGGAAUUUAACGAAAGCUUCCAAAAAGUGAAAAGCCCGUGUGCACUACCAAUCCGGUUUACGGAGAUUUAAAAGGCUUUUCCCAGGGGGAGGAGAGAGGAGGAAAAGAGGCUGGCACCAGGCAGGGAUGGGGAGUGAUUGUCACUGAGGAUCAUCGAGGAACAUCUUUCCUCUGCUCACGGCACCUAUGAAGGCCCACAGCUCACCUGCAGUCCAGUCCGAAUGGAUGGAGGUGGAUUGGGUCUGAAACAACAACUCAGAAUCUUCAGUCUGUGUGGCGGGCCGUACAUUUGGGACACACUAAAAAAUGGUACACCACCAUUGGUUUGAGAAUCCCCACCUUCUUGAAGUCGCCAUUUUUGUUUGAUUGCACUUAUUUCAUUCAGCUGCGACUUGGAGCCACCUGCUGACUACUUCCUACAUGGUGAAGUGGAACACUCUUUUUACAAGGAGUUCAGUUUCAGGCCUGGGGGUCACAGCCUCUUCGUUACAAGUCUUCAGAGAGGAGGCGGGGCGGGGAACCUGUCGCCGAGAAUAAAAGGCCAACCAACUGAAGAGGUGCAGGCUCAUUGGUACGGCCGUGUGCUGGACUAACAGUUGGCUGGCCGACCGUCUCCAGGAGAUCCCAGGUGGCGAAUAUCCUCCCGCUGCAGCCGGCGCGCAAUCCCACCUAGUGGAGCUGGGAAAGCUGUUGAGGAACCACAGCUUUCAGGCGGGACUUUUUUCUGGGGGGUCCGUCACCCAAUUUACAGCAGAACGAGUCUGUCCAGCUCAGUAGUGGGAAGUCACUAGGUACAAAUACAUCAUUAUUGCACUGGAGUGGAUUUUUCAGCUAUGUGUACUUUAGUUGAGUAUUUUCUUUUUUUAAAGUGACGUUUUACUUUUGCUCCCUACAUUUGAAAACAUCUCUACUUUCUACUCCUUACUUUGUCAAAAUAGAGUGGUUACUUCUUCCAAGCCAUUGUAGCGCCAUGAUGUCUUAUCCCUUGGUGAGACUACAUCUUGGUUGGAGUGGUUCUCAAACUGUAAGUUGUGUAAGUACUGCCUCAAAAAAUAUUUUGUUCUCUAAGUACCACCAUAAGGACCAACAUUAAAAAUAUAGCAGAGUGGUAGGCAUCAAAAAACAAGGUUUUAUAAAUUUUUAAAAGUGCAUUAUCCAGUUUUAACAUUAGCACUGUGCUUAAAUAUAGGAAAAUAAAACAAUACUAUGUAAAUGUUUCAAUUAAAAUCAUAUUGCACAUAAAAGCAAAAAACUGUACUUUCAAUACACUAAAACAAAGACUAACUGCAACUGUACAUUAUAGUUAAAUACAGCUGAACUGCACUUCAAAAUGUACUGUGCCUGAAAAGAAAAUACUGCACAUGCAAAGUAAAUUGAGUGUUUCCAUGUCACCUUUUUUUUUUUUUAAAUUGAUGAAUACUCUAAUUAAAAAUGAACUAUUUCUUUAACUGCUGCAACAA